GACGAACGCUGGCGGCGUGCCUAAUACAUGCAAGUAGAACGCACAGUUUAUACCGUAGCUUGCUACACCAUAGACUGUGAGUUGCGAACGGGUGAGUAACGCGUAGGUAACCUGCCUGGUAGCGGGGGAUAACUAUUGGAAACGAUAGCUAAUACCGCAUAAUAUUGAUUAUUGCAUGAUAAUUGAUUGAAAGAUGCUAUUGCAUCACUGCCAGAUGGACCUGCGUUGUAUUAGCUAGUAGGUGAGGUAACGGCUAACCUAGGCGAAGAUACAUAGCCGACCUGAGGGGGUGAUCGGCCACACUUGGACUGAGACACGGCCCAGACCCCUACGGGAGGCAGCAGUAGGGAAACUUCGGCAAUGGACGAAAGUCUGACCGAGCAACGCCGCGUGAGUGAAGAAGGUUUUCGGAUCGUAAAGCUCUGUUGUAAGAGAAGAACGGGUGUGAGAGUGGAAAGUUCACACUGUGACGGUAUCUUACCAGAAAGGGACGGCUAACUACGUG
rnacentral:rRNA from 1 species